rnacentral:lncRNA from 1 species
GUGAAGUGGAAAUUCUGCAGGCACCAGUAGAAAAGACAUACCUGUGGAAUUAAGGCAUGCCCUGAUGAUCAAAGCCCACUCACCGUACAAAUCCUCCAAGACCAGGUCAUUGCAUGAAUCCACAGCUGGAUCAGGCAUGGAACAGGCCGUGAGUACAGCAGGAUACUUUGUUCUUGGUCACAUGAUUUAUAAAUCUGGAGGCACUAGUGAAAGUUUUCCCAUUUUUAUGUAGUUUGUAGAAUGGAAUGUGUUGUGCCAUUUUAAAGGACUUUGACUUCAUUGCAUGAUCACGGGUUUUGGCGUCAAGCAGAUCUGAUUUCCAAUCCUGGUUCAUCACCUCCCCAUGUACCAGCUUUAACAUGUUAGAGAAAUAUCUCUCUCUUUAUCUCUUUCUCUUGCUCGUACUCUUUCUUUGCUUUUGUGUGUAACAGAAAUAAAUAUUUCUAGUUCAUAGGGCUCUUAGAGAAAACUAAAUGAGAUUUCAGGUGAGGCACCUGGCAGUGUCUGCCACUUACAGUGUAGGUAGCUACUGAAUAAAUGCUACUUCUCUCUCAUUCUUUUACUAUCCUGUUGCUCUAAUUUAAACACUUGGUACUGAUAGUUUAAUGUAACUACUAUUAAAUCUGAGAGAAACUGAAACUGUCAGUCUAAUUCAUGGGAGUUGAUUGUCUUCACAAUGAUAUUUCAGAUUCCCAAAUAUGUGACUCAUAUAUAUAUGUAUAAGCCAUAGUAAAACAAAAGGAGUGAUAUUUCUGGCUGUGAUGUGCUACAUUAUUUAUAUUAUUUAAAUAUUAUUUAAGUAUUUAAGGGAAACUUUUCACCAAUUCCUUGUGAUUAAGUAUAAGCACCUUACCUGGCUCAGUCAAACUUUCAUUUCAUAUAAUUCUUUGUUUUAUGUGUUUCUAAUCUCAUUGCCAGCUUCAAUAUAUUUAACUGUAUGCUGUGUAUAACUUUAAAAUGCCUUCAUCACUUUAUUUUAAAAUAAAUAUUUAAACAAUGUCAUUAUCUUAUUGGAAUGUAAUAAAUUAUACUUAUUUGGAUUAAUGUCUAAUUAUUCUUAUUUUAAAGAUGUGGAAUCUGAGAGAUUAAUUUACU